rfam:Schizopora paradoxa strain KTC8140 unplaced genomic scaffold SCHPAscaffold_00065, whole genome shotgun sequence.
GGCGUUGUGGCGGAGUGGUUAACGCGAGAGAUUAGAAUUGAAUCUGAACGAUUCGAACCUAUCUCUUCCUCUCUGAGGGCGCAGGUUCGAAUCCUGCCGACGUCG